rnacentral:rRNA from 1 species
UGACACUGAGGCAUGAAAGCGUGGGGAGCAAACAGGAUUAGAUACCNUGGUAGUCCACGCCGUAAACUAUGGGUACUAGGUGUAGGGGGUAUCGACUCCCCNUGUGCCGCCGUUAACACAAUAAGUACCCCGCCUGGGGAGUACGGUCGCAAGACUAAAACUCAAAGGAAUUGACGGGGGCCCGCACAAGCAGCGGAGCAUGUGGUUUAAUUCGAAGCAACGCGAAGAACCUUACCUAGACUUGACAUCUCCUGAAUUACCCGUAACUGGGGAAGCUCUUCGGAGCAGGAAGACAGGUGGUGCAUGGUUGUCGUCAGCUCGUGUCGUGAGAUGUUGGGUUAAGUCCCGCAACGAGCGCAACCCUUAUCGUUAGUUGCUACCAUUAAGUUGAGCACUCUAGCGAGACUGCCCGGGUUAACCGGGAGGAAGGUGGGGAUGACGUCAAAUCAUCAUGCCCCUUAUGUCUAGGGCUACACACGUGCUACAAUGGUGAGGACAAAGAGACGCAAGACCGCGAGGUGGAGCAAA